GGAAAAUCCAUCAAGACGUCUUCGAGUUAUGCGAAAACGAACAGAGACCGUUUAAUCGUGGACAAAUUCUAGUGCUUUACCGCAGUGUUUCCUGUUGUGCGGUAACCAAGUAUCGGUGAUAGUCCUGGACUUAAUACCAACUUUUAAUCGGAUACUCUGGGCUUGGCAUAUAUUGAGUGUGAGUAUUUAGUAGUAAAUAAUUUGUUGAGGAUACUUGUAUUAUGGUAUUUAUAAAUAAAAAUGUUUUAUUAUUACAUGUAAA